AAGGCAGCAGUGGGGAAUAUUGCACAAUGGGCGCAAGCCUGAUGCAGCCAUGCCGCGUGUAUGAAGAAGGGCCUUCGGGUUGUAAAGUACUUUCAGUCGUGAGGAAGGUGUUAAGGUUAAUAACCUUAGCAAUUGACGUUAGCGACAGAAGAAGCACCGGCUAACUCCGUGCCAGCAGCCGCGGUAAUACGGAGGGUGCGAGCGUUAAUCGGAAUUACUGGGCGUAAAGGGCACGCAGGCGGUUAAUUAAGUUGGAUGUGAAUCCCCGGGCUUAACCUGGGAAUGGCAUUCAAGACUGGUUAGCUAGAGUCUUGUAGAGGGGGUAGAAUUCCAUGUGUAGCGGUGAAAUGCGUAGAGAUGUGGAGGAAUACCGGUGGCGAAGGCGGCCCCUGGGACAAAGGACUGACGCUCAUGUGCGAAAGCGUGGGGAGCAAACAGGAUUAGAUACC
rnacentral:rRNA from 1 species